UACGUAGGGUGCUAGCGUUGUUCGGAAUCAUUGGGCGUAAAGCGAGUGUAGGCUGUUUAUUAAGUCGGGUGUGAAAGCCCUGGGCUCAACCCAGGAAGUGCAUCCGAAACUAAUAAACUAGAAGACGGUAGAGGAAGGUGGAAUUCCAAGUGUAGAGGUGAAAUUCGUAGAUAUUUGGAGGAAUACCGGUGGCGAAGGCGGCCUUCUGGGCCGUUCUUGACGCUGAGACUCGAAAGCGUGGGUAGCAAACAGGAUUAGAUACCCUGGUAGUCCACGCCGUAAACGAUGGGUACUAGGUGUUGCGGGAAUUGACCCCUGCAGUGCCGAAGCUAACGCAUUAAGUACCCCGCCUGGGAAGUACGGCCGCAAGGUUA
rnacentral:rRNA from 1 species